rnacentral:lncRNA from 1 species
GUGUCCGCCUCCCUUUAUGGGCUUAUGAGUUUCUGCCUCAACUCCAGGCAUUUUUUUUUCUUUUGCCUCUAGCCCAGUUUUAGAAAGGACUAUGUCUUGGUCCUUCUUAAUGGUAUAAAAGAUAUCCUCAGCCCGCCAGAUGCUCCUGCAUUUGAGUGACGACACGCUUCUCUGGCUGUGACCAACUUUUCUCCCUUUCUUUUUAAAUGACAGGACUUCUUGUUCAAUACUUGCUGGAUAUGAAGUGAGUGGGAUGGGAGUGACGUUCCACAUGGAAAACGUGGGGACAUGAGGAAGCCCCCGUGGUACAGCCGUGCCCCCAAGUCUCCCUGACCUUCGCAUUUCCAUCACCUUUUAAUCUUACUGACUUAUUCACUGAUCUAUACAGCUAGCACCCUGCCGUCGAGAUGGGCAGGGUUUUUUUGAUGGUGGCAUCAGGAGAAAGUCUGCUGUUUGAGGAAAGACCAGAAGCCCGAAGCUUCAGCUGAAGUUUUGGAUCCAACCCAGUGCCUCCCAUUGCAUCCACUCCUCACACCACCGUCUCCAUGGCGUGACAGUUCCUCAGUUUUUCUUUGUUGUUCAUGACCUUCACCUUUUGGAAAGGUACUGGCCAGUCACUUUGCAAAAUGUUCCUCAAUUUGUGUUUGCUUGAUGUUUUCUCCUGAUUAAAGUGAUGCAUUUUGGGCAAGAACAUCAUAAAAGCAACGAUGAAUGAUUUUCAACACAUCAUAUCCAGAGGUGUGUGACGUAGAGGUGCCUUAUCCUGGCGAUGUUGCCCAUGAUUGCUUGGCGAGGUCUCCCAGGGUUACAAAGUUACUGUCUCUCCCUCUGUACUUAGUAAAUAACUCCAGGAAGCAGAGAUACUUUGAAAGUAUUUAAAUAUUCUAUUAUAUUUAAACUUUUGCUCACUGAUUUUAGUAUCUCUGGGUAGACUGCCCACAACAGUUCUAGUGUGGUUAUCUAGUUCCCUCAUUUCUUUUACAUUUAAUUGGAAAUUCCAAUAAGGAAGAAUUUCCAAAUUCCACUUGGAAAUUCUCCAUAAGGAAGCUCUGUCCCUUCCACCCAUUAUUUUACUUUAUUUAUUUCCAUGUUGGAAUUUGGAACAUUUAGACUGAUCUUACCAUGAAUUCACGUGGUUCCAUGUAUAAAGCUUGGCUGAAAAUGUCCACUGGAAUUAAACCUUUAUAUUGGGAUUUAUUUAGGACAUCUUCAUAGGUCUGGUAUCAUUUUAUUUUCUCUUUGAAUUCAUGACAUUUUGCCCAUGUAUGUGUCCACCUCAAUGCGCCAUUUUAAGACUGUUGACCACUUAAGACAGUAUCUUGUGAUUCAGCACCAGGUACUAAUCAAAAUUCUUUGAAAUAAUAACACAGGGUCAGUAUAAAUUCACAUGUUUAAAUAUAGACAAUGAAAAAAGUUCAGAGAAAGCAAACAAUUUAUUAGCGGAAGCUACUAAUUCAAAAACGAUGGAAAAAACAUCUUUCCAGGCACUAUAUGUCUUCAUGCUUCCGUCUUUCUGAAAAAUGGUGCAUGGAUAUUAAAGGAGGUUUUUGCAGAACGGGAUGAUUCGGAUGUCUGUCUUAUGCAUGUAAAUGUUUUACUGCAGCUGGUGUUAGCCAGGAAACCAAGAUAGUUCUUUCUAAGCUUUAAAUCAGUUGUUUUAUAGAGCACAAAGAAUUUUUUAUUAUAACAUAAUUCUGUGCAUAAAAUAUCACAUUAAAA